UACAAUUUGAAAACAUAAAAGAUAAUGAAAACUCUCCACUCUAUUAAUAUACAUCCUCUCCUCCUCAUCUAAACUCACAAUACACACAAACACCUCUCUUUGUUUUGUCUGCAAAUAAAAACACAGAGAAAUCAUACUUCCCAAAUAUACAAACACACACGCAUACAACAACAGUACCCAUCUCCCUUUCUCUGCAUUCUUGAAGGAAACCCAAAUUAUACAUAGCAUGCCAUCUUCUUUUAUCUCAUCUUUACAAAAAUAGGCCCUAUACAGAAUCACUACAACUCUCCCACACACCUCUACUCCCUCUCGGUUCCCCUUUCUUCUUCAAUCGCACACAACAAACAGCCCCCUUCUUCCGAUGAUAGAACGGAACACCACCACCACCCCCGUGAGGUGGUGGUGUGGCCGUGACCGAACAGAAAAGAGAGAGAGAGAGGAAGAAGAGAGAGAGAGGCGGCGAGAAGAGAGAGAGGGAGUCGGUGGACCGGCGGUCGGCGACAUUGACCGGCGGUCGGUUCUUGUGUCCGGUGGUCGGUUCGUUUAUCCGACAGUUUUUCCGUUGUUGAUGAUGCUCAAGGAUGUGGAGGAGAGAGAGAACGGUGAGGGGUAUGACGGCGGAGGCGGUGGUGCUUGUUGACGGAACGACAAGGUGAUGGCCGGAGCGCCGCCCCUGCGGCGGUGGUGGUUCCCUCCGACGGCGUGAUAAAGAUAGUGAAGUAGUGGUUGUGGUUCGAGUUUUAUUCGGGCUUUCAAGCUUCGCGUUCGGCUUCGUGUUUCGGGUCAAAACCCGGUUGACUCGGUCAACACCCGAGUCAACUCGGGUCAGCAGCAGGUCAAGCAUGGUUAACGGUGGUUCGGGUCAAGUUUCGGAGCGAUCAACAUAAGUCCGCGGUUCGGAUCGUUGUUCGGGUUGACUCGGUCAAACCGAGUCAACUCGGUCAGCCUACUCGACUAAGUGACGCGAGAAGUUUCGGUAAUAGAUUAAAGAAACGAUUUCAUUACGUUAUAUUUCUAGUUUUAGCGUCUCACGUGAACGAGCUCGAACCAUUUCGUUUAUGAUUUACUUUAUAUUUUGAAAUGCUUGACGAGAUAUAUCUGAUUACAUUGCGUUAGUUA